GCGACGACAGUUUAAAUGGAAUUUUUGUUAAUCAUAUCAAAAUUCAAGGUGGCAUUACACUGCAGGAGGGCGACAUCGUCACCUUUGGCCACCCACGAGGACGGGAUAUUCCGUACGGAACCAGGGCCAGGCAGUCCGAUUCAGAAUACCAGUUUGUUUUUGAGCGGUGUGAUUGUACCAAACAUUCACCAGUUAAGACUGAACAGAGACUAACAGAGAACACGACUGAGGUUCAGAAUCAGCCACUUCUGCCAUCUGGAAUUAAGCGUUCUGGUUCACCUUCUAGUACUGAUGUAAAGGAGAAAUUUCCUCGCUUAGAUGGAUCAUCUACUGAAGUCAAGGAGACAUUCCCUCGCUUAGAUGGAUCAUCUACUGAA